rnacentral:rRNA from 1 species
GACGAACGCUGGCGGCGUGCCUAACACAUGCAAGUCGAGCGGGCCUGUCAAGGCGUUAUGUUUUGGCAGGUAUAGCGGCGGACGGGUGAGUAACGCGUGGGCAACCUACCCUUAAGACCGGGAUAACACCUCGAAAGGGGUGCUAAUACUGGAUAAGCUCCUUGUAGGGCAUCCUAUGAGGAGGGAAGGUAGCGGGAGCUACCGCUUAAGGAUGGGCCCGCGUCCCAUCAGCUAGUUGGUAGGGUAACGGCCUACCAAGGCGACGACGGGUAGCCGGCCUGAGAGGGUGGUCGGCCACACUGGGACUGAGACACGGCCCAGACUCCUACGGGAGGCAGCAUG